rnacentral:rRNA from 1 species
GAUGAACGCUGGCGGCGUGCUUAACACAUGCAAGUCGAACGAAGCACUUUAUUUGAUUUCCUUCGGGAUUGAUUAUUUUGUGACUGAGUGGCGGACGGGUGAGUAACGCGUGGGUAACCUGCCUUGUACAGGGGGAUAACAGUUGGAAACGGCUGCUAAUACCGCAUAAGCGCACAGCAUCGCAUGAUGCAGUGUGAAAAACUCCGGUGGUAUAAGAUGGACCCGCGUUGGAUUAGCUAGUUGGUGAGGUAACGGCCCACCAAGGCGACGAUCCAUAGCCGACCUGAGAGGGUGACCGGCCACAUUGGGACUGAGACACGGCCCAAACUCCUACGGGAGGCGGCAGUGGGGAAUAUUGCACAAUGGGCGAAAGCCUGAUGCAGCGACGCCGCGUGAGCGAAGAAGUAUUUCGGUAUGUAAAGCUCUAUCAGCAGGGAAGACAAUGACGGUACCUGACUA